GUGAUGUGGAAGGAAAAGUGCAGCGGAAGACAAACAAAGAUGAUACCUUCUGGCCAAGUGUGAGUACAACCUAUGGGUGUGGCUGGAGAGAACAUGUGUUCCACCUGAAUGGCAGAUCAAGAUUAUUCCUUCUCAUCUGCUGCAAUGGCUCAAUGUGUUAAGGAGAGGAGCGAGACAGCAAGAACUGCAUUCAUUCAGUCAUACAGACCAGAAGGAGGAAUGUCGCCCAGCCCUCUACACUGACACAGAACCCAGCUCAUGUCUCAACUGCUACCUCUACUACUUAGAAAGAAGUAACUCCACCAAAGCAGGGUUCUGGACAGAUGUAUUUUUAUUGAUCAUAUACAAAUAGAUGAAGAUGGGCUUGGAUGUUAAGAAAAAUAAUACUAUACAAAAUCAAGAGUAGACAGUCGCCCCUAGACUUAAAUUAAGAGUGUGUACAUUAGAUAAUUUAAUCCAAUGUAUCAGGUAAAAACUUGAAAAACCCUUUUGGCCUCUUCCAUAAAAUUCAGGGAAGCAUGUCCUCCACAAAACAUAAUCAAAAUAUAAAUGAAAGACUGGCUUAAGAUGAAAGGAAACCUUAUAAAUGAAAAGAAGCCAGAGGAGAGGCACUUAACCGAGAAUGAAAAAAACUGAAUGGACAAAAUAAUUAUGAGAAGAUGAAUCUUCAAGUCAGAAAGAGGGAAAAAAGCUCAUUUGAUACUAUGGGAACUCAAAAGAGUGAACACAAAUGUGAAAAUUCCAAGAGUACAGAAAAGUAGCAUAACUAAAUUAAGAGCAUGAGAAAAUGUAUACAAUUCGGAGUAAUAAGAACAGAAAUCAAAAGUUAGUAUUGUAUGUUAUAUUUUUGUAGAGCAACACUGAAUAAGAAUGAAAACAAGAAGUAAUACUAAAUAUGAACAUAUGGAGAACAGAAUAAUAUUUUUAAAAUUUUUAGUUUCUAAGUUUACCUGAAAUUUUAAUUUUGGUUUCUUAUGUAAUACCAGAGUGAUUAGGAAGGUAUUAGCUAAUAACACUAUUUUCAGUGAUAUUUUAAGUAUUUGUCCUAGAAAAAUUUCUAUUUUUAAAAAAUGUAUAUUUAAAAAUACAUUAAAUGUGUAUAUACAUCAAUCAUAUGUAUCAAUUUCUGUUUUUUUUGAAUUGCAAAUGAAAUUUGUAUUUUUGUG
rnacentral:lncRNA from 1 species